AGGUGAUUAAUGCCCGGUGAGAGGGUGAAAGGGACCUAUACCCCCGUCAGCUGCAGGAAAGGAAAAAAGAGACAGGUGAUUGAUGCCCGGUGAGAAGGUGAAAGUGACCUAUACCCCUGUCAGCUGCAGGAAAGGAACCAAGAGACAGGUUAUUUUAUAGGACCUACAGGCUUUGCAACCAAUGUGCUGUAAUCCAGCCUCCUUAGAAUAUAAUGGGCUGUAGUCUCUAAAUUCACUUAAUUCCUGGCACUCAAGCAAGCACAAUCAGCAUAUACUACUCAAUUCAUCUCAGCUAGGCCAAAGCCUAAAGAACCUGCAGCCACUUCAAAACGUGAGUUAUCAAGCUAUAUCUACAAAUUCCUAGUGACUACUAUUCAACUCAAGCCUACAAUUAGUAGCACAGUGGCCGGCAGAAAUCUCAAUACUACAAGUCCCAGCAAGCCUGCAAGGUAUCCUGCAUCCCGGUUGCCUCUAGGGAAACUGCAUCAUUGUAAAGACUGUUCCAUGAGAAGUUUAAGUAAAAGUUCCAGUUAUCUCAUAAUUCCUGCUGUGGACAUUCCAUUAUCUCCUGCCGUUUUUGGGCUGGUUGUCGGCAGGGCCUUCUACAGAAAACAACCGCACCCUGGUGUCACGACAAAUUAGGGGUUAAUACCACCUUACCCCACAGGGUUAAUACCACCAGACCCUGCAACACCAUUGCCUCACCCCGCUUACCACACUUUACUUUUUUGAGACUUUAUUGGUUUGGGUCUUGCUUGCUUCUCUCCGCUCGCUGUAGUCGACCAUUUUUCAUUUUAUUUGGGAUGUCCUAGGUGUUUGCCAAGUUUUUGUUACAGUGGGUCGUAAAAAUUAAAAAUUUAAAUUCUAUUGUAACUCAUGAUUUUUUAUUUUUACAAGGGGUUACCGCAGAAAAAGCACCAUGAAAUUUGUUUCCCAAUUUCUCUUGAU